GCGAGCGUCUGGGCGGGUGGUAGGUGAGUGGGUAUUGCGGGCUAGUAUCCGAGCAAAAGAUGGUGGCGCAGGCCGAGUUAAGAGCUUUAAUCCUGUGAAGACAUCUUAGUGAAGAGUUUAGAGUGCUGAGAGUUGAAAGCUUGCACGUGGGAAACGUGCGGCCGGACUGCCACAUGUACUGAGGUUGAGUCGUGACGGCCACAGGCUCCGAGUUUUGGCGUGAGGAACCGCUGAUCGGCCACGGGCGCCGAACUUGCUGGCCUCCGGCAUGUGCCUGAGCGGCGGCGGAAAAACCACCUUAAUUGGGGCGGAGGGUUAGUUUUAACAGCAAAGGGCCUUUACUAAAAUGGCGAAGGCCUUCCGUCGGCGUUGUUUUAAAAUGGGAAGCCUCGACCCUGUAUUGAAACUGAGCUGUUCGAAGGCGGCGUUGUGUGCAAUUCGGAUUAAUGAAGGGGAAGGGUUUUGUGUGGAAAAACGCCUUGGAGUGUGACAUUUCUGCGAGAAUGCUUAAAUACCGAUUUCCCGCAGGAACAAUGGCGCUGUCUUCAGUGGCACAGUGGAGCAGCUCUGAAGAUGCAAAGAUACACGAAAAAACUUCCAGAACAUCUGGGAGAAUAUUUAAUGGAAAAUCGCUUGGUUAAAACCUGACACUUUUAACAGGUAUGUGUUGUUUUAGUACUUUAUGAUUGAGCAUAGCAUUUAAUCCACACCUAGACUAAAUCAAAUUUUUUUUGUCAGUGAACAGCGUUCUGAGUGUGGACGAGUAGCCAGUGAAGAUAAUGAAUGUCGAAUGUGACUGACUAGCAGCUUCAUUUUGAAGUAGGUUGUAUGGCUUAAAAGUUCUGUAGUAUUUGUACUAUAAUACUUGCCUUUUAGCAUUACCUUGGUUUGUAGUCAGUGUCACAGAAGUGCAGUUUAAUGUAUUAUGUGUACAUAUACAAGGUCUGAUUGGUCUAAUCAAUGAUGAAACCUAUCCCGAAGCUGAUAACCUGAAGAAAAAUAAGUACGGAUUCGGCUUCUGAGAUUAAGACCAGUAAUUCAGAGGUGGAGUAAAUUUUGUUGCCGUGAUUUUAUAACAGUUGUGUUAUAAAAUCCUGGGUUUUUUUUUUUUCUGCCAACAGUGAGGGUCGCUGUCUGCCCAUUGAUAGAGGCCAGAUUGUCUUGGAAGUUCCAAAGUUGCAACGAUUUCUGGCUAGUGCCACGAGGUUUACUUGACUGUUGUGUGAAAAGCUGAUAAGAAAACCAUCCAGAAAAAAGCUCUUCGUUUUACAAACAUGAAAAUAAAACAUGUAAUUUU
rnacentral:lncRNA from 1 species